rnacentral:rRNA from 1 species
AUGAACGCUGGCGGCGUGCCUAAUACAUGCCAGUCGAGCGAACAGACGAGGAGCUUGCUCCUCUGACGUUAGCGGCGGACGGGUGAGUAACACGUGGAUAACCUACCUAUAAGACUGGGAUAACUUCGGGAAACCGGAGCUAAUACCGGAUAAUAUAUUUAACCGCAUGGUUCAAUAGUGAAAGACGGUUUUGCUGUCACUUAUAGAUGGAUCCGCGCCGCAUUAGCUAGUUGGUAAGGUAACGGCUUACCAAGGCAACGAUGCGUAGCCGACCUGAGAGGGUGAUCGGCCACACUGGAACUGAGACACGGUCCAGACUCCUACGGGAGGCAGCAGUAGGGAAUCUUCCGCAAUGGGCGAAAGCCUGACGGAGCAACGCCGCGUGAGUGAUGAAGGUCUUCGGAUCGUAAAACUCUGUUAUUAGGGAAGAACAAAUGUGUAAGUAACUAUGCACGUCUUGACGGUACCUAAUCAGAAAGCCACGGCUAACUACGUG